CAAAUUAAAGUUUUAUAAAAAUAUUUCAUUUACAUUGAAAAGAAAUUGAUCAGUUCAUUUAAUUUGA
rnacentral:tRNA from 1 species